AUUAUAUUAUAUAUUAUAUGUCCGAGUUCUGUAGUGUUCUGCGUACUCCGUGCUUGCACUUUGUAGUUUGUCGUAGUGCGCCAUAGGACGAAGGUGUCUGAAUGAUAUAAAUUUUAUAAUAUUAUAUUAUUAUAUAGGUAUACUGCAGGUGUGAUUGUCACAAAACUAUCGGUUUUUUGUAUUAGGGUCAUUAUUGUAUUAUUGGCUUUUUAAUCGGUUUAAAACCAUAUCGAUACACAACGGGUAAACAGAAAAACUUCACCGUCGAAUAUAAAAUACCUAUCAAUAAUAUAGAAUGUCAACCAAAAUCGAUUCAUCUACAAAAUUUAUGGAUAGAUUCGUCAAUUUGGGCUCGUGGAUUCUGGAGUAUCUGGACGUGAAAAAAAUGUUCAACUCAAUUAUGGAGGUUUUGUUAGCUUGCGCCAGUAGCUGCUUCCCAGCGAUAGACUCGUUCACCGACGACGAAGACGACGAUACACAAACAGAACAAAAUAAGAUUAAACAAAAAUGAAAAUGUACCUACAAAAGCAGUCAACUAGAAAAAAAUGAAAAAUUUUGGAUUAAUGAAUAAAUCCGAUUGUUUUCUGACAUGUUAUGUAUUAUGUAUUUUUAAUAAAUUAUAAGUUAUUAUUUUGUAAAUACCUUAUAGCUUUAUUCUUCGUGAAAAUUACCUGAUGAUUUUAGAAACCCAACUACUUAAACAAUACUAUAUGAUAUAGUAUAUAAGAGUCAUCCCUCUCAACUCUCAAGCUGUAUUUUCAAAAAAUUGUAUACUGUUCAAAACAAAAUAACAUACAUAUUACUACAAUA